UACGUAGGGUCCGAGCGUUGUCCGGAAUUACUGGGCGUAAAGAGCUCGUAGGUGGUUUGUCGCGUUGUUCGUGAAAACUCACAGCUCAACUGUGGGCGUGCGGGCGAUACGGGCAGACUGGAGUACUGCAGGGGAGACUGGAAUUCCUGGUGUAGCGGUGGAAUGCGCAGAUAUCAGGAGGAACACCGGUGGCGAAGGCGGGUCUCUGGGCAGUAACUGACGCUGGAGGAGCGAAAGCCGUGGGGAGCAAACAGG
rnacentral:rRNA from 1 species